CAAAUACUCCCUCCGUCCGAAAAUACUUGUCAUCAAAAUAGAUAAAAGGAAAUGUAUCUAGACGUAUUUUAGUUUUAGAUACAUCUCUUUUUAUCCAUUUUGAUGACAAGUAUUUUCGGACAGAGGGAGUAUUUA
rnacentral:pre_miRNA from 1 species